CAGAAAAGGCAGUGUGCGACACGCACGUCUCCGAUGGCUCUGCGCAACAGGAAACGCACCAGAGGACUGUCCAGGAUGACACUGUCUGGCUGGUUGAAGUUGGGAGUGCUGGACCGGGUGUUUCCGCUUCCUGGGGUUGACGGCCAAAGACCCAACAGCUUCCUACCACACGUCAAAAUGCUGCAACACAGGAAAACACACAGCUCAAUCCCACCAUCCUGACAUCCGCUUCUGGAUAAACACUACAGCAGCAAACUUGCAGUAAUAUUAUAACACAUUGUGUUUAUGUUUUUUUUUCCUUCUGCUUUCAGCAUGUUUUGAAUGUUUCCACACUGAAAGAAAGUCAUUUUUAAAGAAUGCUGCCAUUCCAAUGAAUAUCUGGGGAAAAAAUAAACGAUAAGUUCACAUUUA